rnacentral:rRNA from 1 species
UACGUAGGGUGCAAGCGUUAAUCGGAAUUACUGGGCGUAAAGCGUGCGCAGGCGGUUAUGUAAGACAGUUGUGAAAUCCCCGGGCUCAACCUGGGAACUGCAUCUGUGACUGCAUAGCUAGAGUACGGUAGAGGGGGAUGGAAUUCCGCGUGUAGCAGUGAAAUGCGUAGAUAUGCGGAGGAACACCGAUGGCGAAGGCAAUCCCCUGGACCUGUACUGACGCUCAUGCACGAAAGACGUGGGGAGCAAACGAGG